rnacentral:precursor_RNA from 1 species
AGAUGACUGCCCGGACUCAGUAGUCUAGUGGUGUGCGCGGUGGCGUAUGACACGAAGACGACUGAGUUCGAAUCCCACUGU